rnacentral:lncRNA from 1 species
UAACAGAAUCCUAGUUUUCCUGUGUUAUCCAAUAAAACAAUGUAGAUGAAAACAAUUUAUAAAUGAUAAGACAUGAUCAUAAAAGAUGAUAGUAAAAUGCCUCAAGAAAUUAGGCACCUAACUGAAAUUGUGUUUUAUCACUGUGUGGCAUCUCAACAGUUACACCACCUGAAAACAACACCUAGUCCCCAACCCUCUGCAUGAAGAUGGGGUAGUAGCAGCUCAGAAGGAAAAAAGGAAAUUUGUUCUAGUGAUAAGACUAACUCGUCCAGGGUUCUUUCCUCUACAACACCCUGCCUUGGCUAAUGCCAAGGUGAGGUCUGUAUGAAUCAAUUCACCUAAUGUACAUAAACCUUCUACUUAGAAAUCUGAAUGGGGACCCACCCAGCCACAGAGAAUCGCAUGACUCAUGCAUAUGCAUAUACCCCCAGAGAUGCACACGCCCAAAUAAACACACACACACUCUUACCUUAAUGCUGCUGUGGUUUUAAUAUAGUUUGCCCCUUUUGCAACUCAUGUCCAAAUUCAAUUGCCUUUAUGGUGGCAUUGGGAGAUGGGCCCUUUAAGAGGUAAAUAGGUUAUUAAAGGGGAUAAUAUCUUUCCCAAAAGAGAGAACUCAUUCCCAUAAGAUCACAUUGUUAUAAAGUGAGGCAGCCUCUCAUGUUUCUAUUUGUACCUGCCCACUUUCACUUCUUCUUUUCAUCAUGAGUCAAAAUACCUUGAGGUCCUUGACAAGAGGCAACCAACCAAACUUGUAGUCUGCAGCCUCCAGAACCAUGAGUCAAAAUAAACUUCUUUUCUUUAUAAAUUACCUAGUCUCUGAUAUUCUGUUUCAGCAACAGAAAAUGAACUAAGAUAGGUGCCUAUAACCAUAUGAACACAGAUGCACAACACGUGCAUUUUCACGUGGAUAUAAGAACACCUCUAGGUUUGUUUGUGUUUACACCCAUAUGAAUAUGUACACAUAUACAUGACACAGACACACUCAGAUCUAAACCUUCU